CAGUAGCCGCGGUAAUACGGAGGGAGCUAGCGUUGUUCGGAAUUACUGGGCGUAAAGCGCACGUAGGCGGCUACUCAAGUCGGGGGUGAAAGCCCGGGGCUCAACCCCGGAACUGCCCUCGAAACUAGGUAGCUAGAAUCUUGGAGAGGUCAGUGGAAUUCCGAGUGUAGAGGUGAAAUUCGUAGAUAUUCGGAAGAACACCAGUGGCGAAGGCGACUGACUGGACAAGUAUUGACGCUGAGGUGCGAAAGCGUGGGGAGCAAACAGGAUUAGAUACCCGCGUAGUCCCUGUCUCUUAUAC
rnacentral:rRNA from 1 species